GAACUCCGAGUCUCCCACUCGACCACACACUCGGUCAGUUACAUCAUCACUUCCUGGUUGCUAAUUGGCGACUUACAGUCUUGUAGUUCUUCUGCACAUCGAUCAAUCGUGUGGUGGCAACGAUGAUGGUCGUGAAUCCGCCGGGCAGUUCUUCUCUCGCGCGGCCGACCGCUCGCUGCUCCUCCGGCAGCCGAUGGACCAGAGCUCCCCAGCCUGCCGUCGCUAGAGCAGUGGCCAAGAACAAGCCAAAAGUUGAAGGAAAUGUUGCGAGCAUGCCAAAUCUGUUAGGAUCAUUAAAUUGCAAGGUUGAGAAGAAGGCUAGAGAGACUCGAACAAAGAAGCAGCUCCACAAACCCGAAGAAGUGCCGACGUGUCAGGAAAGUAUACAUCGCCAACUUUCCAUGGUGGAUGUGCUCCAAAAGAUCGGCAUAUCUCGGCAUUUUGCUAGUGAGAUCAAGAGUAUCCUGGAUUUUACAUACAGUUAUUGGUUACGAAGAGAUGAGAUCAUGCUAGAUGUGGAGACAUGUGCCAUGGCGUUCCGCACCUUACGGAUGAAUGGGUACAAUGUAUCGGCCGAUGGCCUGUCACAUAUCUCCACCGAUCUGAGUGACACGAGAUCUUUGUUGGAACUAUACAAGGCUUCACAAGUUAGUACUUCGGACGAUGAGUUGAUUCUGGAUAUUAUAGGAUCCUGGUCAGGUCACCUACUGAGGCAACAACUGAAAUCUAGUGAGGCACAAAGAACCCCACUCCUAAGAGAGGUAGAACAUGUUCUUGAUAGCCCCUUCUACACCAUGUUGGAUCGUCUGGAGCAUAAGAGGAACAUCGAACAAUUUGACAUAAUCGAGCAUCCCAUCCUACAAUUGUACGGUUUUAUUCUCUUUUUUUGCAAACUAAGUGCUAUGUACACACACACAACCAUAUCAUCGCAUUUCUUAAGCAGGACUUCUCAGACAAAUCAAGAUCUUCUAGCUCUGGGUGUCAUGGAUUUCAGUACAAGUCAAUCUAUUUAUCAACAAGAAUAUCAACAUCUCGACAGUUGGGUGAGAGAGAGUAGGCUGAACCGGCUACCUUUCGCACGACAGAAGUUGGCAUAUUUCUACCUCUCAGCUGCCAGCACCAUGUUCCCUCUAGAGCUAUCUGAAGCUCGCAUCCUAUGGGCCAAGAAUGGCGCGCUCACAACGGUUGUCGAUGACUUCUUUGACGUCUGGGGAUCAAAAGACGAAUUGGAGAACCUCACUGCAUUAGUCGAGAUGUGGGAGCAGCAAGAGGAAACUGAGUACUACUCUGAACAAGUCGAGAUCGUGUUCUCUGCAAUCUAUAUCUCGGUAAACGAGCUUGGAUCAAAGGCUUCCAUAGUGCAAGGCCGCGAUGUCGCGGGACACCUAGUAGAAAUUUGGCAAGAAUUGCUAAGGAAUAUGAUGACUGAGGUGGAAUGGAGAACGGGCGGAUACGUUCCAACCCUAGAUGAGUACAUAGAAAAUGCAGUUGUGACAUUUGCAUUGGGCCCAAUUGUGCUUCCUGCAUUGUAUUUUGUUGGACCAAAGAUUACUGAGUCUAUGGUAAUAGAUCCUGAGUACAGUGAGUUGUUUAGGUUGAUGAGCACUUGCGGCCAGUGGCGAAUCUAGACAGAAACUGGAGGGUGGGCUCAAAGCCUGUAUCAUGCCAAUAUCUGUUGGGUUGGGCUUGCAAGUGGUUGAAUUGGGCCAUGAAACUAGUAGUAAAAAAAAUUCUUACAGUGCUGGAGGAGGGGCUCAAGCCUGUUAAAGCCCCCCUAGUAGAUUCGCCCCUGCUUGCGGCCGUCUUCUCAACGACGUCCAAACCUACGAGAGGGAAUACAAAGAGGGUAAACUGAACAGUGUCUCUCUGCUCGUGCUUCACAGUGAUGGCUCUGUGACCAUACCAGAGGCUAGAAGGAAGUUGCAGAAGCCCAUAGAUACGUGUAGAAGAGACCUGCUAAGGUUGGUCCUU